AAUUUUGGACAAUGGGGGAAACCCUGAGCCAGCCAUCCCGCGUGUGUGAUGAAGGCCUUCGGGUUGUAAAGCCUUUUUGACAGGGUAGAAAUGGUAGAGGCUAAUAACCUCUGCAGAUGACGGUACCUGUAGAAUAAGCACGGGCUAACCACGUGCCAGCAGCCGCGGUAAUACGUAGGGUGCAAGCGUUAAUAGGACUUACUGGCCGUAAAGGGUACGCAGGCGGCUAGGAAAGAAAGAUGUGAAAUCCCAGGGCUCAACCUUGGAACUGCAUUUUUAACUACCUGGCUAGAGUAUGUCAGAGGGGGGUAGAAUUCCACGUGUAGCAGUGAAAUGCGUAGAGAUGUGGAGGAAUACCGAUGGCGAAGGCAGCCCCCUGGGAUAAUACUGACGCUCAGGUACGAAAGCGUGGGGAGCAAACA
rnacentral:rRNA from 1 species